rnacentral:rRNA from 1 species
ACUCAAAUGAAUAGACGGGGGCCCGCACAAGUGGUGGAGCAUGUGGUUUAAUUCGAUGAUACGCGAGGAACCUUACCUAGGCUAGAAUGCGCGUGACCGGUUCAGAGAUGGACCUUUCCUUCGGGACACAAAGCAAGGUGCUGCAUGGCCGUCGUCAGCUCGUGCCGUGAGGUGUUGGGUUAAGUCCCGCAACGAGCGCAACCCCUAUGUUUAGUUGCCAGCACAUAAUGGUGGGGACUCUAAACAGACUGCCUGCGCAAGCAGUGAGGAAGGCGGGGACGACGUCAGGUCAUCAUGGCCCUUACGCCUAGGGCUACACACGUGCUACAAUGGACGGUACAACGGGUUGCUACUGCGCGAGCAGAUGCCAAUCUCUAAAAGCCGUUCUCAGUUCGGAUCGGAGUCUGCAACUCGACUCCGUGAAGCUGGAAUCACUAGUAAUCGUGUAUCAGCAAUGACGCGGUGAAUACGUUCCCGGGCCUUGUACACACCGCCCGU